AAGUCGUAACAAGGUUUCCGUAGGUGAACCUUCGGAAGGAUCAUUACCGAGUGCCGGGCGCAAGCCCGUCUUCGCACACCCUCUGUCGACUCUCCGCAGUUGCUUCGGCGGCGGCGGCCUCGCGGGCCCCCGCCGGAGGACCAACCUAAACGCAUGGCAAACCGGUCUGUCCGAGGCUAUACGCGAAAUCAGUCAAAACUUUCAACAACGGAUCUCUUGGUUCGG
rnacentral:misc_RNA from 1 species